UUUCCUGCGCCCUGUUCAAGUUUCGGUGAUCUCGCCGAUGAAAAGGGAACACGGGAUGGUCCGCCGCCACAGCUGCAGGAUCAAAGCCGUGGCUGCCCCCGCAACUGUGAACGGUGAGCGACGCCUCUCAUACCACUGGGAUACCCCCCGGGAAGGUGGGCGACCGCUGCGAUCCGUGAGCCAGGAGACCUGCUUGAAUGUUCACCCUUUU
rnacentral:ncRNA from 2 species